rnacentral:tRNA from 1 species
GGUGUGGCGCAGUGGUAGCGCAGAAGACUGUUAAUCUUUUGGUCGUGGGUUCGAGUCCCUCCACC